rnacentral:tRNA from 1 species
GCCUGGCUGGCUCAGUUGGUAGAGCACAUGACUCUUGAUCUCGGGUUGUGAGUUUAAGCCCCAUGUUGGGCA